rnacentral:misc_RNA from 1 species
UCUCCGUUGGUGAACCAGCGGAGGGAUCAUUACCGAGUUUACAAUUCCCAAACCCCUAUGUGAACGUUACCAAACUGUUGCCUCGGCGGGAAAUUCAUGCCCCGGGCGCGUCGCAGCCCCGGACCAAGGCGCCCGCCGGAGGACCAACCAAAACUCUUUUGUAUGCCCCUCGCGGACUUUUAUAAUUCUGAACCAUCUCGGCGCCCCUAGCGGGCGUUUCGAAAAUGAAUCAAAACUUUCAACAACGGAUCUCUUGGUUCUG